CUAAGAGUUGAUCCCUUGCCUCAGAAAAAGAAUGGUAACGCAAUCUCCAGGUCUUCCAGUCCUCCUGGGUUUAAAGAACAGUCAAAAGAUGCAGCAAAGGAUAAUCCCAUGGCCUCAAUUUCAUUGGACGUGAAAUUAAAGAAUUCUCAGAAUUUACAAGCUCAGGAAAGCACUUCAAGCAGCGGCACAGAAGCAGAAGGGGAAAAAACAAGGACAAAGUUAUAGAGGUUGUGCAUAGGAAGACUGGUGAAGACAAGGAUGAAGAACAGAGGAAUGGCUGUCAAACCCAACAGUUUCCAAUUACUUCGUCAGUUGAUUCUGAAAAUGUGAAAAUGAGUCCUCCAGCAACCUUACUGCAGAGAAGACUGGAAAAAAUGAUGACAACUGUGUAAUCAAAGAGGAUAAAGGAUCAAGAAAUGCAGAUGGGC
rnacentral:misc_RNA from 1 species